GAUGAACGCUAGCGACAGGCUUAACACAUGCAAGUCGAGGGGCAGCGAGGGCGUAGCAAUACGCCUGUCGGCGACCGGCGCACUGGUGAGUAACACGUAUGCGACCUGCCCCCUACAGGGGUAUAACCCGUAGAAAUGCGGACUAAUCCCCCCAUAGUCCUGGGUGCUGCAUGGCAUUCAGGGGAAAGGGUUUCCGGUAGGGGAUGGGCAUGCGGCGCAUUAGCUAGUUGGCGGGGCAACGGCCCACCAAGGCGACGAUGCGUAGGGGUUCUGAGAGGAAGGUCCCCCACACUGGUACUGAGACACGGACCAGACUCCUACGGGAGGCAGCAGUGAGGAAUAUUGGUCAAUGGGCGCAGGCCUGAACCAGCCAAGUCGCGUGAGGGAGGACGGUCCUACGGAUUGUAAACCUCUUUUGUCGGGGAGUAACGUGCGGGACGGGUCCCGUAUUGAGAGUACCCGAAGAAAAAGCAUCGGCUAACUCCGUG
rnacentral:rRNA from 1 species